UACGAAGGGGGCUAGCGUUGUUCGGAAUUACUGGGCGUAAAGCGCACGUAGGCGGAUCGAUCAGUCAGGGGUGAAAUCCCAGGGCUCAACCCUGGAACUGCCUUUGAUACUGUCGAUCUGGAGUAUGGAAGAGGUGAGUGGAAUUCCGAGUGUAGAGGUGAAAUUCGUAGAUAUUCGCAGGAACACCAGUGGCGAAGGCGGCUCACUGGUCCGAUACUGACGCUGAGGUGCGAAAGCGUGGGGAGCAAACAGGG
rnacentral:rRNA from 1 species